rnacentral:hammerhead_ribozyme from 1 species
AUCCGGCUGACUAGUCCCAAAUAGGACGAAAUGCGCGUCAAACUGGAU